UACAGGAGGGUGCAAGCGUUGUUCGGAAUUAUUGGGCGUAAAGCGCGUGUAGGCGGCUUUGCAAGUCGGGUGUGAAAGCCCUCAGCUCAACUGAGGAAGUGCGCCCGAAACUGCAGAGCUUGAGUACCGGAGAGGAUGGCGGAAUUCCCCAAGUAGAGGUGAAAUUCGUAGAUAUGGGGAGGAACACCGGUGGCGAAGGCGGCCAUCUGGACGGAUACUGACGCUGAGACGCGAAAGCGUGGG
rnacentral:rRNA from 1 species